AACGCGAAGAACCUUACCUGGGUUUGACAUUUAGGGAAAAGCCGUAGAGAUACGGUGUCCUUCGGGGUCCUAAACAGGUGGUGCAUGGCUGUCGUCAGCUCGUGUCGUGAGAUGUUGGGUUAAGUCCCGCAACGAGCGCAACCCUUAUUCUAUGUUGCCAGCGCGUAAUGGCGGGGACUCGUAGGAGACUGCCGGGGUCAACUCGGAGGAAGGUGGGGACGACGUCAAGUCAUCAUGCCCCUUAUAUCCAGGGCUGCACACAUGCUACAAUGGCUGGUACAACGGGUCGCUAAUCCGCGAGGAGGCGCUAAUCCCCAAAGCCAGUCUCAGUUCGGAUCGCAGUCUGCAACUCGACUGCGUGAAGUCGGAGUCGCUAGUAAUCCCGGAUCAGCAACGCCGGGGUGAAUACGUUCCCGGGCCUUGUA
rnacentral:rRNA from 1 species